rnacentral:lncRNA from 1 species
UCGGAGAUCCCUUUUGUGGCUUCUACUUUAUCAUGAAGAUUGUCGACAAGGAUUGAGAAGACAUAAUUGCUUACUAAUUAGAUUUCCAUAGAUGGUUAUGUUGUAUGUUCAUAUUCAUAUGUUGGCUCGCAGAUCCCUUUUCUGGCUUCUACUUUAUCAUGAAGAUUGUCGACAAGGAUUGAUAAGAGAUAAUUGCUUACUAAUUGCUCGUGUGUUUUUCAUCUCAGUGCUUCUCGGUGCCCUUCAUAAAGAACUUUCUCCCCGGAUUGUCUAUCAAAUCUCCAGUUGGAAAUAUCAGUCUACAGGCCCGUCUGAUAAAAUUAACCUUUAACAACCAACUGGAUGAUUAGCUGCUCCAUCAUGCUACAUACGCCUCUUUGUUGAGUGUUUUUCCCCGUUUUCUUGGAGAGUGCUACCUUUGCAAUGGUUUGGCCAUAAAUCUGUUGUCCGCACAAGUAGUACUGCUAAUUUGCCCUUUUUAAUGACGAUUUAUGCUUUCCGUACGCAAGUAUUUUAUUUGCAGUUUUGCAUUAGCCAAAUACUGAACUUCAGUGGGAGACAUUCACUGUUUUUCAGAUUUGAUGGAAAAACAAAAAAUAUGCCGCCAAUCGGCGUAAUUUUAUAACCGUUCUCGUCAUCUGAGUAACAUCCGAAAUGGCUAAUCUGAUCGGUUUUGCUGCUUGUGUAGAACCGACGACAAGCUUGUUGGCGGGCAUCUGGCAGGAUCGGUGAACAUCCUCUACAUGUACAAUACCAGCUCAGGCAAUUAUUAGAACUCUGUCAGUUAGUUAAGCUCUUGUGAUCAUUGAAAGGGAGGGGGGAUUAAGGUGUUUCCAUCAACAACCAUUUAUUGGUCGAGUGGACUCAGAACUGGAUUCGUACUGAAAAAUCAGGGUUGGCAUCAUGAUAACAAGCAUGGUCACCUUAAGUCUCAACUCUGAGCCUCCUCUUGGAAAAAAUGCCCGCAUUCCAAACAAGUCCAUUUACAGACUCUAAACCUCCUCUAUGAGCACCAAGUAGACACUCUCUUUGCUAUGUUUUGGCACAAAGAGCCAGACAUCAAGUACUACGUGUGCACAAUCAACAGGACAUUUGCCAAACCAGGCCAGCGCAUGGUAUGCUCAAAUGCACAGCCUAUUCAAUGUUUACUAACUUCAUAAUGUAGCAAGUUGUAUCUCCAUACCACACAACUCCCACUUUUUAUUGUUUUUUUAACAGAAAAGAUGCUCAUUUAUUCUAACCGAGUAUCUGUGCUUUUAACCUUAUCUUUUCAACACCACUACUAAUGCUUUAAUGCCAUCCGCACACUGUAUAUGAAAAUGAUUAAUUUGCCUUGUGUAAGCCCAAUUUUCUUUCAUCGCCAUUCUUUACCACUCUCAUACUUAGUUAUACUCAAUCAGAUUCAUUGAACUCGCUUUUACAAUAUUACUUGUUUUUUCUUAGAGCUCUAUAAUCUACUGUAGUCGACCAUUCAAUUACAAGCACAUCUAUUUUUAGUUCUUCAUCUUCCUUUACUACUUCACUCUUUUCAUGAGCUUCACCAGCCAUUUUACAGAAUAUGAAAUGUUGUUUUCUUAUGCAUUUUAAUUACCUUUACAACUGUAACUUUGUGAUGAUACAAACGAAAGUUGCACAUAUUUUCCUAUUUAUACUAUUGUUCUAUCCAUGCUUAAAAUAUAACAAAUCAUAUUCUGUUCAUACUACUUAACAGUCAGCAGUUUACUUAUGUUACAAAUACCAAUUAUAUUCCCUUUCUCACCUGAUCAACACCUGAUCUGUUGUUAUUUUUCUCCUACCACUUAUGAAAUUUCUACUUUGCCUUUUCUAGCUUACCAUUUUUUCAUUCGUUUGUUCUCUGUUCAUACACUAAGCUGUACAUACUCAAAUCGUCAAUUGCACACCAGAAAUAUUGACUUCUCUUUGCUCUUUCAUGAGCCAUUUUACUUGACCAUUCAGAAUGUUGGGUCCUCAAGACGUGUAGUGAAUAACAGUACUUUGCUAACACCAUUAAUAUCAUGAAUAUCCAUAGAACACGCUCUUAUCUUUCAUAUCACACAACAAUUUAUGUCCAUGUAAAUAACUUACUUUCUUCUACCAGUAUUUUUAGGUUAACUAUACUGAAGAGAACUUGCAGGACUACAUUGAUCCAAACAAUGAUACACUCAUGGUCAUACUUGCAGACCGCCAUCUGCUCGCCGAAUGUUGCAUCAUGCUAGGAAUGGACAAAAGGGCCACUAUAACCACCAACUGGCCUGAGUUUUGUCGCCGCGCCAACAUUCGCGAGGGAGACAUAUGUGCAUUUCGUUUCAGGAUAACUUCAAAGCGCCGCCUGGUCCUCACCGUGCACUACCUCUAGAUGCACCAUCGAAGAUGAUGCAGCCCCUGUGUCAAUAUAAUCUAGCAUUAAGUACUCCUAAUUAUGUUAUAUCCUGUGAUAACCUAUCGGUUGCUUUUGGGUCCUCUUAUCACAUGCUUUUCAAGACACUAAACCUACGUUGCUGCUUAUGUUAAGUGCACUAUUGUCAGUCAGAUGUUUCAUGUUCAGAUCCAUAAUGAGCUUUCUCUGUAAAGUAUAUAUUUCUAUUUUUGCUGCUAAGUUUCUUAACUAAAGCAAUUAUCCCAAAUGCUAAUUAGAAUAGAAAAGAGUGUUAAAGGGAUGAGUACAACCAGGCACUGCUCAGCCACCCUUCAAGAGGCGCGCCACGGGCAUGCCCCAACACCUAGUUCAAUGAACAUAUUGACCAAACGUCGGCCUUACGUGGCUUGAUACUUACUUUUGUAAGGUUUCGCUGGUAAAGGCUGCCCCACACAGAAUGGUCAAGCCAACCCAGACCCGACUCCCUACUUGUUGGACAAAGCAGCAGGGAGGAUACCGAGAUUAGUGGCAAGUGUGAAGCCUAGUCAGGCCAGACGCCCUGCAAAAAUAUGUGUCUACAUAUCACGCUAUGUAGGCCUGACAUAUCUGCCAUGUUAGUUUUGGGAAUAAUGUUUUAGUGGUGUCAUAUUAUGUUGCUAGUAAGUCCCAUAAAUAGGAUAUAUUAUGUCAUUAUGUUUCUUCAAUGGAAUAAAUUAAUGAACAAUUUACUCAGCACAGAAGUUCUUUGAAUUCGUAUAAGACCAUGCUCCUUCUUUUUAAAUAUUACCCUAAUAUUAGAGCAUAAUAAAAUAAGAGUGCACACAUCUCCAAUAUGAUUGUACUUAAGAGAAGAGAGAAGGCAUACUCACAUUCAUCAACUUCAGUCUGCUGGUGUUCAAAUCUCAGGUUUGGCGUCCGGUGUGUCUCACUAAGAGCAUCUCUAGCAGACUUCUUAAAAAACAGUCAAACCGGUAAAAAAUGAUGUUUUCAUUUUUUGCUAUUAAAAAACACCCUGAAUAGAGCCCAUAAAAAUGGUCAAACCCGUAAAUUUUCUCAUGCCCCUGAGAAUCCACCUCCACAACCCUUUUAUUUACAAAUUUGGAGGCAAAGAUGAGGGUUUCCUAAAAACCGGUCAACGCUACGUGAGAAGGGAAUUCCGCCAUGCACACACGGGCUCCGGUGACCUUUCGCCAUGGAACUCGUCGGAAACUCGACGCUUACGAUAGUUGCGGCGACGGGAGCUAGCUCCUGGAUCGAUUCGAUCGAUCCGUUCAAGCAACUACGGUGACGGGAGCUAGCUAGCUAGCUUCUGGAUCGGUUUGAUUGAUCCAUUCAAGCAGCUACGACAACGGACGGGCGCUUCAUGCGAGCCAUCCUGGACACUGCUGGCUCCGUAUUUGGCCGAUUCGUGCGCUGUCUGCCGGCUUCGUAGGAGCGAGCUAGCUGACGUGGACACGGGCGAGAGGAAAAAGAAGACGCGGGGACAAAAAUGUAAGCAAAUAUUCGGUUUUACAGUUUAUGUUUGAGGAGUUUGUUCGGCCGCAGCUCAAACCGACUCUGAAAACACUUUUCCGUGAACUGAAAACCGCGUUUUCAGUUCCGCGGUUUAAGGAGUUUGCUAGAGAUGCUCUGAGACCAAAUAUUCUUUCCAUGAUAUGUGACCAAUCUCAGGUUUGGCGUCCGGUGUGUCUCACUAAGACAUAAUAUUAUUUCUAUUGUAUGCGGCCUAUCCGUACACAACCAGAUGUCAGGUGACUUUAUCCAUCUACUAGAGGCUCAACUAUGUGCUUGAGUGUAUCUAUGCUUAUUGGAUUGGACUGGCGGGGAUAACUAGAAAUAUCAACUAAUCAAUGGGUGUGUGGUGAAUAUAUGCAAACAUGCAUCCGUCGGUAAGCUAGCGCUCAGGGCUCCAAUGACCUUCCGUCAUGAAACUUGCCGGAAACUCGACGCUUACAACAGCUGCGGCGACGGGAGCUAGCUAGCUAGCUCCUGGAACGAUUCAAUCGAUCCAUUCAAGCAGCUACGGCGACGGGAGCUAGCUAGCUCCUGGAUCGAUUCGAUCGAUCCAGUCAAGCAGCUACGGCGAUGGACGCUGGGGCGCUUCGUGCGAGCCGCGCUGGACACCGGAGGCUCUGUUUUUGGCUGAUUUGUGCGUUGUCCGUCGACUUCGUAGGAGCGAGCUAGCUGACCGUAGAUACGCGCGAGAGGAAAAAACGUGGGAAAAUAUACAAGAGAAUAUUUGGUUUUACAGUUUCAAUUUGAGGGGUCUGUUCGGCCGCAACUCAAACCGACCCUUAAAACACGUUUUUCGUGAAUUGAAAACUGCAUUUUUAGUUUCGCGCUUUAAGGCGUCUGCUAGAGAUGCUAUAAGACGAAAUAUUCUUUCCAUGGUAUGCAACCAAUCUCAGGUCUGGCGUCCGGUGUGUCUCACUAAGACAGAAUAUUCUUUUCAUGGUAUGCGACCUAUCCGUAAACAGCGAGAUGCCUGGUGACUUUAUCCAUCUACUAGAGGCUCAACUAUGUGCUUGUGUGUGUCUAUGCGAAAUGAAACGUGUAUCUAUGCUUGUUGGAUUGGACUGGCGGGGAUAAGUAGAAAUAUCAACUAAUCAAUGGGUGUGUGCUGAAUAUAUGCGAACAUGCAUGUGUCGGUAAGCCAGCGCUUGGGACUCCGGUGGCCUUCCGCCAUGGAAUUCGCUGGAAACUCGGCGCUUACAGCAGCUGCGGCGACGGGAGCUAGCUAGCUAGCUCAUGGAUCGACUCGAUCGAUUCAUUCAAGCAGCUACGGCGAUGGAAGCUAGCUAGCUAGCUCCUGGAUCAAUCGAUCCAUUCAAGCAGCUAUGGCAUCGGACUAUGGGGCCGGGGCGCUUCGUGCGAGCCGUUCUGGACGUCGGCGGCUCCGUAUUUGGCCGCUUCGUGUGUUGUCCGCCGGCUUUGUAGGAGCAAGCUAGCUGACCGUUGACACGUGCGAGAGUAAGAAGAAGACGUAGAAGAAAAUAUAAGCAAAUAUCCGGUUCUAUAGUUUAAGUUUGAGGGAUUCGUUCAGCCACAGCUCAAACUAACCUUUGAAACGCAUUUUCCGCGAACUGAAAACCGCGUUUCUAAUUUUACGGUUCAAGGGGUCUGCUAGAGAUGCUCUAAGACGAAAUAUUCUUUUCAUGGUAUGCGUCAAUCUCAGGUUUGGCGUCCCGUGUAUCUCACUAAGAUUGAAUAUUCCAUGGUGUGCGGCCUAUCCCUAAACAGCGAGAUGUCUGAUGACUUUGCCCGUCUACUAGAAGCUUAACUAUGUGAUUGUGCGUGUCUAUGCUUGUUGAAUUCGACUGGCCGGGAUAACUAGAAAUAUCAACUAAUCAAUGGAUGCGUGGUGAAUAUAUGCAUUCGUAAGCUAGGGCUUGCUAUAAAUAGCGGGGCUUACACACUAGCAAUCAUCCAUCUCACUCUCAGGCUGGCUAGCUAGCUACACGUACGUUCCCUAGCUAGCUAGCCACUAGCCAGCUCUAGCUAGUUGCAUCUUGAUCGAAUGGCGGUAAGUGAUUGCAGCUGCAUGCAUACUACUUACAUAUGAUGUGAUUUGCUUGUGAUUGAGCACUAGCUAAAUCCAGAUUGGUUUGUGUGGUAUGGGGAUGUAUAUAGGGCGCAGUGAAGAUUGGUUCAUGGGGUCUACCCAGCGGAAAACUUUGCGACAUCAACAGCUACAGCAGCCCCCAACGCCUCAUCAGCAUCACCGUGUAUAGCAACGAAACCCCUGGAGGCUGCAUCGUUGGCUUCUCCUUCACCUACGUGGACCAGACCGGAGGGGCCAUCAACGUCGGCACAUGGGGCAACACCUGGGGAGGCGUCAAAACGGUACACAGCACACACGCUCGCUCUCUCUCUCUUUUGGGCCACUCCAACAUGCAUGCAGAAAUUUGAGAAAUUUGAGCGCAUGCAUGCAUGCAGAUUUAUAUGAACCAGGGGGAGCAUGUGAACGAUGUGAGCGGCACCUCCAACAGCAGAGGGGUGACCUCGCUCAAGAUAGUCACCAACCAGGGGGACCGCGGCACGUACGGGUGUCCGGCGGGCGACGCAUUCAGCGUGCCGCUGCGGCAGGGCAAGAACGAGGUGGUGGCCUUCUUCGGCCACUCCGACGACACCCUCAAGUCCCUGGGCGUCUACGUGCCGGGGGCCAAGGAGUGCCCCGUCAAGAUUGGCCCCUGGGGCGGCCACCUCGGCUCCUCCAGGGACCUCUACGCCAGCAACAUGCCGGUGCAGCUGCAGAGCAUCGCCGUCCGCAGCAGCGAGAGGUCCGGCGGCCGCGUCUUCGGCUUCUCCUACAACUACUUGGACAAGGCCGGCCAGCGCAUCAGCGUUGGCCCCUGGGGCUCCAGGACCAAAGGCCAGCAGCGCAACAUCGCCAUGAACGAGGACAACUACGUCACCUUCAUCAGCGGCACCUACGAUGACUACGGCGUCACCUCGCUCAAGUUCGAGUCCACCCAAGACGACUACGGCCCCUUCGGGUGCCCGGUGGGCACCGCCUUCAGCGUGCCUGUGCGGGAUACCGGGGCCAUCGUCGGCUUCUUCGGCCGCUCCAGCGCCGACGGCCUCGUCGGCUUCGGUGCCUAUGUCGUGCCGCUGGAUGACUAGCUAUCUGGUAGCUAAUUAACGAUCCAGACUAUGCAUGCAUUCUUACACCUAUUGUACUACCGCAUGCCCAGUGAGUUGUGUUAAAAAAACAAGGCAGCUACUAUGCAUGAUGCUAUACAAGUUGAUGUGUGUGGUGAAUAAGGAUUACUUAUGCGAGCUUGCGUGUACGUUAGCAACAUGCAUGCAUGUAUGUGUGCUCACAUGCAAAUAUAUAUGUACACUACUGUAAGUUUGCCGUCCGAAUAUAUAUGAAAAAAAAUAGUAUUUAUAUAUGAUAUGUAUGCACUCCUUUGACUUUAAUUCAUUAAUUAGAUGGAUUUAUAAUUUUAUUAUACUGUGCAUGGAGAUUAUUUAGGAUGAGCCUACAAUAGAAGAAGAGACUCUUCUCCCCUCUCUCUCAUACAGAUGAUUUUUUUUCUUUUCUUUUCUAAGGGUGCAUACAGAUGAUUUCUUGGGUCAAAAUAUUCAAUGUAUUCAUUCAUGCACAUACAAGAGAUCUUGCCCAUAGUUUAGACCUUUUACAGUAGAUGAAAAUAAUAUAAACUGUCCAUUUCUAGUCAUUUAAUGGACUGGGUCCAUCAAUACUACUAGAAAAAAUCAGUAGUAUAUUUUUUUGAAGGGGUAAAAUUGGAAGACAAAAUCCGUGUGUUUUCUUCUCGUGCUUUAACGGGACUGCAGAGACCGGACCGGACAUGAGAUGGCUUCUUCCCGGACGGUAUUUUUUUUAAAAGGGGGAUUACCCCUGGCCUCUGCAUCCGAAAGAUGCAUGCGACCAUAUUAUUAAAAAGUGGCGGCAAUUACCAAAGUCCGAGAUCCAAUAUAGCUCGCAAACAGAGCAAAGAAAAAAAUAAAGACAAAGUGAAAUCAUAGCCACAACUGGCUGGAAAAUAGGACAAAGUGACUAAACAUCUAUUCCGUUAUGAGACCGCCAUCCAAGCCGGUUGAAGAUACCCCGUGCUACCAUCUCCCAUUGGUUGCACCCAGUAACCGAAUGCUCCCUGAAGUCCAUAGGAGUGAGUAACAACCACAUAUGGUUCCAUGUCGUAGCUCUGAAAAUAACCUGCAAGAAAUUUGAAGUAUUUGUCUGUUAAAGAUCAUAUCGUUCCUACAAUUCCAUAUAGCCCAAAGUAGCGCGUAUAUUCCAAUCCGAAUACGUGCCACAAUAGCAGGUUCCACUCCAGUUAGCCACGUCCCAAAUAACGCAUCAAUACUGCUGAAGGAGUAAUGUUAGCGGCUAUAUGAAUGGUUUGCUAAAGUAAUUUCGCGAGAGGGCAAUCUAUGAAGAGGUGUUGUUUAAUCUUGGUCACAAAAACAACAUCAUACACUAUCUACCCAUCUAUGAAGAGGUGUUGCUAAGGAUCACAUGUUUGUGGACAAACCACAUGAAAAUUUUGAUUCGCAAGGGAACCUUAACUUUCCAAAUAUGCAUCGAUCUUGGGAUUGCGCCAGACUUAAUUAGAUCCAAGUACAUAGAUUUAACCGUAAACACUCAAUUUCCCGUUAACUUCCAGUGAAUGUAGUCCGGUUGGUCGGAGAGUUGAACAUCCAUCAACCUCCGCACCAAGUGUAGCCAGGAACUUCAACGUUCCCCUACUAAAGACCUCCUGAACUAGAUAUAUAAAGGUACCACAUAUAAUACUGUAGUCACGUAAUCCUCCUUAGGUUGCACAAUAUUAUACAAGGUGGGAUACUAUAGGGCUAGAGGUGUCUUUCCUAACCACAUAUCCUCCCAAAACCUUCUUGUUGUUCCAUUACCAACAACGAAUUUCACCCUAUGAAAGAAGAUAUCUUUUGUUCUCAUGAGUUCCUUCCAAAACGGUGAAUCAUUAGGUCUUACGGUAACCUGAGCCAGAGAUUUAGAUUGUAAAUAUUUUUCCAGUAAAAUCUGUGCCCACAUACCAUGCACCAGUCUCUUCGGAUAACAAAUAUAACCAUUCAUUAGGCAUUUAUUUUUAAUCUCCAGGUUCUCAAUACCAAGACCCCCCCCCCCCGGUCUUUGGGUCGGCAAAUAAUAUCUCAUCUUGCCAAGCGGUAUUUUGCCUUAACCUCAUCUGACUGCUAGAAAAACAAGAUCAAUAGAAGUCUAGUCUCUUCCGUACCCCUUUAGGUACCUCGAAGAAAGAUAACAGGAACAUCGACAUACUAGUUAGUACUGAAUUGAUCAGCACCAGCCGACCUCCAUAGGACAUAAGCUUACCCUUUCAGCAACUUAGUUUUUUGAUGCAUUUCCAUUCUUUAUUAGUUAAUUUACGAUGAUGAAUUGGAAUGCCCAGAUAACUAAACGGUAAGGAUCCCAAUUCACAUCCGAAUAAUUAUCGGUAAAUAUCUUGUUCCUCUUUGGCCCUACCAAAGCAAAACAACUCGCUCUUGUGAAAGUUAAUCUUUAGUCCCGACAAUUGUUCAAAGAGGCACAACACUAGUUUCAUAUUCCUAGCCUUUGCAAGAUCAUGCUCCAUGAAGAUAAUAGUGUCAUCAGCAUAUUGUAGGAUAGAAACUCCCCCAUCAACCAAAUGGGAAACAAGUCCACCUACUUGGCCAUUCUCCUUCGCCCGACCUAUAAGCACGGCCAACAUAUCAGCCACAAUGUUAAAUAAGAUAGGAGACAUCAGGUCUUCUUGUCUCAGGCCCUUAUGAGUCUAGAAAUAAUGACCGAUGUCAUCAUUCAUCUUAAUCCCGACAGUAUCUUUUUGGACGAAGAAAUCCACCUGACUCCUCCAUGUUCCAUUAAACCCCUUCAUGCACAUGUCCUGUUGUAGGAACGGCCACUUGACAUUAUCAUACGCCUUCUCAAAAUCCACCUUGAAGAUCACCGCAUCUAGUUUCUUCGAAUGGAUUUCAUGUAAGACAACAACCCCUUCUAGGAUAUGUCUCCCAGGCAUGAAUGCAGUCUGACUCGGUUGCACCACCGAAUGGGUGAUCCGUGUAAAUCUAUUGGUGCCUACUUUCGUGAAUAUUUUGAAACUCACAUUCAAGAGACAGGUUGACCUAAACUGCUCGAUUCGAACUACUUCUUCUUUCUUUGGCAACAACAUUAUCGUACCGAAGUUAAGAUGGAAGAGUUGCAGGUGGCCAUUGAAGAAGUCAUGAAACAUAGGCAUAAGGCAUCCUUGACAUGCCAACAUUUCUUAUAGAAUUCCACCGGGAACCCAUCUGGUCCCGGUGGUUUAUUCGGCUUCAUCUGAGAUAUCGCAUCGAAAACCUUUUUCUCAGUAAAAGGUGAAGAUAGAAUCCCAUUUUCAUCUGAGAUAUCAUGCCGAAAACCUCUUUCUUAGUAAAAGCCCAACGGUAUUUUUGGCCGAGGAAAUCACCAUGUACAAUAGAUUGAUUGAUCUUGUCCGGAUGCACUAGAUCGUACGUGAUCAGUCGAUUGUUUUCUGGUUGCACUCAAAUGACGCAGGCACAAGCAGCGGGGGCAUCUCAGAAGGAGCAACAGCCACCACGGCGCCGGACGCUGUAGCGGCGACUCCGUGGCCUGCUGGUUGAUGUGAUGCCCGGUAGGAGACUUGGAGCUCCUACUUGAAGGGCACGGAGGCCAGCUCUGAUCAAUUGUUGGACAUGGUCAUUGAUGACCGGCGACGACAACGACGAGGCUUCAUGAGGAUGGUUACCGCCAGGGAUUUUACAAAUUAAGGCCCUGUUCGGCCACGCGCGGAGCAGCGUUUAAUCAACUCCGCAGAUUAUAACUGGAUUGCCGCUCCGCUCCGGCGCGGAGCCGCGGAGCGGAGGGAAUCCGAACGCGGCCUAAGAAACAAUAAAAUGACAAAACCACCCCACUAUUUAACGGCUGCAAUGAUUCAAUACUACCGGUUUCAGAAGUAGCACGAUGUACCCCAAAAAAAUAUAGGAAAGAAAGUUAGCUUGGUCAGGGCAUGUCCUAAAACCAUUGCCUCCUAAGUUAGGGGUGAAAUUGCUUUUGUGACCGCUGCAUAGGUCCAAAUUACAUAAACACAACUUUAAACACAAAGAGAAUUACAUAAAGCUUCACAUGAGACACUUAGCCUCCACACGAACAACUAAUGAGCACAUGUCGUCUUCUCCGCAAGCUGCAUCAGAAAUGGAAGCCUCUCCUUGCCUCCGGUGACCGGCCAAACCAAAGCUCUGUGGAGAAUAAUUGCGUUGCUAAUGUUAUAUUCCUUGUGUGUGUAUAUCACUAUAAUGGGAUUGUUUAUCGCUUUCCGGUAAUGAAAUGCCAGGAUUUAAUUUGCGGAAACAUAUAAAUAAAUAAAUGGAGAUCGUGUUUCUAAAAUAAGUUGGAACGUCCAAGAGUAAUUCAACCAAUUCAUUGCUACCAGUAAAUAAUUAAUUCAUGAGAGAGAUAUGGAGAUAGAGAGAGAGUGUAGGGGAAGGCCCCUGCUGUGACCCAGUUUUCAUUAUAUCAAAGAUAACUACAAGAGGAUCAAUCAGGGGUUAGGGGAGUUACAUAUGAGACGCAGAAGACUCACUUUCAUUACUCUUCUUUGUUUAGUAAUCCCAACAAUAUGCGACGCCCAAACUCAAUAAAACUCUCUUACUGUAUUCCAAAUUUAUUGAAAUUCUGGUUUUAUUUUAAAUCAAACUUCUAUAAAUUUGACCAAGUUUACGGAAAAUUAUGUUAAUAUGUACAACAUCAAAUAUAUAUAAUAAAAUAUAUUUUUUGAUAGUACGGAAACUAUUUUUUGUAUUGUAGAUGUUGAUAUAUUUUUCAAUAGACAUGUGAAACUUAAAUUAUUUUGACGUAAGGCAAACACUGAACUUUAAAUAUCCAGAUGUAAUCCCCGCAAAAAAAAAUCCAGAUGUAAUAUAUUCACUAUUUUAAGAAUAACUUUACUUUACUUUAAAUUGGUAGUGCACACACUAGCUAGCUGCGCGGGAUUCCGGUCCAUCGAACAUUAUAUGCAGGAUAUUACCACAUACAUGCACACAUGGACAUUUCUAAUAUUCUGUACGUGAGGAUGCCAACAAGAUAACAAGGAACCUUAGCCACCGGACUACCACAUACAUGGACAGAUGAAUACGCUGAAUGGUGUGCGCGUGAAGGUGAAGAUGCCCACAAGAUAACAAGGAACCUCGGCAUCCAUCAACAUGCUGAGACGUUAUGAUCCAAAAGACUCCGCAACUAGUCAACUAAGAUACUCGGAAGGAGUUUGGGGCGUGUUUGGUUACAUUGCCAAUUCAGCCUGGCCCGGUGAGCCUGGCUUUAUUGAGCCGGUUUGAGGGGAUGCAAGCAAAAAGACCCUAGAUGCAUAUAGUUUGGUUGUCUACAUGUACCUAGUUGCAUGAGACAAUCAUUUUUGAUCCGGCGUUUGGUUGCCCGCAUUGCAUUAGACGCACAUAUGACAUGGUGUUUGGUUGCAACUUGCAUAAGGUGUUGUCACCACUACUAACUAGUGGUGAGCUUACCACACACAAUCUGAACAUGUAGUACCAUCUAGUUAAACAAAUGACAGUUUAUCCUAAUUACUAUCAAAUGACAGUUCAAAUUAUUAAGAGCCAUUGGCUAAAUAGGGGAUAGUUCAUCGGUGUUGCUGCCACCGGAUCUUCCUCUUCCUCUUCCUCUUCUUAUGUUUCUGCUUCUGCUUCUUCUUCUUCUUCCAUCUUCUUCAAAUCCUGCACUGACCUCUGUUAAGCCACAUUGCCUCUGCCCACUACAACCUUUUGUUCUUCCAAGCGUCAUUGUCAAAUGCCUCCACACCAUGGCCGGAGCUAACAACAUCGUCAGGCUCGACCUCUUCCUCCUCAGGCACGUGUUCAUCAAAGCCCCACUGGAGGAUCCAGUUAUGCAGAAUGCAACAAGUAAGAACAAGCUUAACCUGAGUGGAGUAUGGGUGGAAUGCUGUAACGCCCUCGAUGCGGCUAUAUCUCCCACGUGUCGAAGCACGACUUAGAGGCAUAACCGCAUUGAAAGCAAUGUCGCAAGUGAGGUAAUCUUCACACAACCCAUGUAAUACAUAAGGGAAAGAGAUACAUAGUUGGCUUACAAUCGCCACUUCACACAAUUACAUGAAUAAAGCAUUACAACAUCCAAAUACAAUCAAGGUCCGACUACGGAACCAAAACAAAAGAAGAACCCCAAAUGCGACACGGUCCCCGAUCGACCCCAACUGGGCUCCACUACCGAUCAACUAGAACGAAACAACACAAAGGACAAGAUCUUCAUCGAGCUCCUCCUGAGCUUGGUUGCAUCAUCUGCACGGUUCAACGGCACCUGCAAGCUGGUUUUGGAAGUAUCUGUGAGUCACGAGGACUCAGCAAUCUCGCACCCUCGCGAUCAAGACUAUUUAAGCUUAUGGAUAAGGUAAAGGUAUGAGGUGGAGCUGCAGCAAGCGACUAGCAUAUAUGGCGGCUAACAUACGCAAAUGAGAGUGAGAAGAGAAGGCAAAGCACGGUCGAGAAACUAUGAUCAAGAAGUGAUCCUGGACUACUUACGUCAAGCAUUACUCCAACACCGUGUUCACUUCCCGGACUCCGCCGGAAAGAGAUCAUCACGGUUACACACGCGGUUGAUGCAUUUUAAUUAAGGUCAACUUUAGGUUUUCUACAACCGAACGUUAACAAAUUCCCAUCUGCCCAUAACCGCGGGCAAGGCUUUCGAAAGUUCAAAUCCCUGCAGGGGAGUCCCAACUUAGCCCAUGACAAGCUCUCACGGUCAACAAAGGAAUAGACCUCCUCCCGAGAUAUUCCGAUCAGACUCGGUAUCUCGGUUCUACAAGACACUUCGACAAGUUAAAACAAAUCCAGUAACACCACCCAGAUGUGCCGACAAAUCCCGAUAUGAGCUGCACAUAUCUCGUUCUCAGGGCACACCGGAUGAGCAAGACGUCGGGUAGGCCAGCCCAGAGUUGCUCCUGGUAGCCCCGCACAUCGCUCGGUUGGACCAACACUCAGAGGAGCACUGGCCUGGGGGGGUUAAAAUAAUGAUGACCCUUGGGCGCGCGACGCCCACGGGAAAAUAAAAGGCUAGGUGGCGAAUGGUAAAACCAAAGUUGGGCAUUGCUGGAAGAGUUUUAUUCAAGGCGAACUGUCAAGGGGUUCCCAUUAUAACCCAACCGCGUAAGGAACACAAAAUCCGGGAACAUAACACCGAUAUGACGGAAACUAGGGCGGCAAGAGUGGAACAAAACACCAGGCAUAAGGCCGAGCCUUCCACCCUUUACCAAGUAUGUAGAUGCAUUAAUUAAAUAAGAUAUAUUGUGAUAUCCCAACAAGUAAACAUGUUCCAACAAGGAACAACAUCUCCAUGUUCCAACAAGGAACAAACUUCAAUCUUCACCUGCAACUAAUAACGCUAUAAGAGGGGCUGAGCAAAGCGGUAACAUAGCCAAACAACGGUUUGCUAGGACAAGGUGGGUUAGAGGCUAGGUUCAACAAUAUAGGAGGCAUGACAAGCAAGUGGUAGGUAUCGCAGCAUAGGCAUAGCAAAAGAGCGAGCAACUAGCAAGCAAAGAUAGAAGUGAUUUCGAGGGUAUGGUCAUCUUGCCUGAAAUCCCGCAAGGAAGAAGAACGAGUCCAUGAAGAAGACAAACGGGCGUAGACGAAUGGGUCCUCUCAAACACGACGUUACCAGAACCAACCCGAAGGAGCAAGCACCGGAAAAAAAAGCACACAACAUAGUAAAGAACCAUCACAUAAUCAUGGCAUAAUGCACAACUAAGUAUGAUGCAUGUCCGGUUUAAUAAUACAUGGCAUGGCAAAGUGCACAAACAAACCUACAAAUUAAGUGGAGCUUAACAUGCAAUGAGUUGCAUAUUGAAGAAAACACCACAUGACUUAUUUAGUUCCCUCUCAUUUAUGUACCCAACAAGAUUAAAUGUUGAUUAACAUGGCAAGAGGGUGAAGCAAAAGGAAACUGCAUAUUUAAGCAAGUUUAAAUGAGGCCGGAAACAACAACAACAAUUCCGGAAAAAUCCUCAUGUGCGUAUUAUGGAUUUGGUACUGUUCUGCCCUAAACACAAUUUUAGAGUUGUUAAGCAUGCAAAGUGAAGCCACCAUGUUAAACUAGGCAAAAUUCUACCCCAUUUACAUAUAAAGUUUAUUAGAUUUGGAGCUACGGUUAUUUAGUUAUGAAUUAAACCGUUUUAGCAUGCUAUUUUUGCAAAAUUAAACAAACAACAUUUUAGACAUUUUUAACAUGCAUGAAAGUGGCAUAUUAUUAAUCUACACAAAAUUCUAAGCAUUUUCAUAUAUAAAUUGUUUUAAUCCGAUGCACGGUUAUUAAGUUAUUAUAUGCAUGAAGUUUAGGGGCCAUUCUGCAAAACUGACACUCUCUGGAAAAAUAGCUAAAUCGCAGAGCCUAAAAAAAUUUACAUGGGCCGGAACUGCUGCCCAACAGCGGGGAAAAGAAAAAAAACAAACAUCCUGAGGCGCUAGGGCUUCUCACCCAUGGGCCUUGCCCAGUCGGAGGAAGAUGCAGGCCGCGAAGGGAGGCGCUGGGCCUUGGAGAGGCAAAGAGGCCCAUGCGCGUGGCGGACACUGGCGGGAUCUGGGCCUGGCACGGCCUCGGUCAACGCAGGUAGGAGCACACGUUCACUGUUCGUUCUCUGCUCGACAGAGACAAAGCAAUGGCGACGGCAUGGGCGCAGCGGCUGCUCCAUCCGGCGAGAUGCAGGUGAGGAAGGCAAGGCGGCACAGGGUAGACGCGGAUCUGGUCGACGACGGGGUCGAGGAGUCUUCGGGCGGCAGCGGUGCUACGCGCCAUCGGAUCCGGCGGGGUUCCAGUCGGCAGGGGAGACAGCGGCGCUUGACGUGAGCUCCUGGCGGCGGGGUCGGCGGGAAGCGGCCGGAACGGAACUGGGACGACGGGAUCUGACGGAGGGGCCGGAUCUGGAGCAAACGGUGGCGGCUUGAGGCACUGGUGCGGGCAGAGCUCAGCAAGGCCAUGGCGCGGGGAUGCUCCUGUCGACAGAGAAAGGGAGAACAGAGAGAGAUGAGAGAGAAAGAAAAGGAGGAGCACGGGAAGGAGAAGAAAGGGGCGACGCUCAUCUGGAUCGGGAGGAGCUCGGGCACGAGGGCAGCGCAGGAGUAGCGAGGUGCAGGCGCCUGGUGGUGCUCGACGGCGGAGGAGCUCCUCUCCUGUUGGGUUCGAGCGAGGCAACAAGGAGGAAGCAGGCGCGAGGAGGCAGGGAUCCAGACGCUCGGGACUGCUGUUGCUGCUCCAACGAGGCAACCGGAGGUGAUGGUGGUCGGUGAAGCCCUCGGGCACGAGGUCCUUGGCGACUGGGGACGAGGCACAGAGGGCAUCGGCUCCUCCAGAGCGUGGCUGGCAGCGCAGGAAUCGAGAAGUGGAUGGCUUAGGUUGACUGCGAGGGAUCUAGGGGAUGAGCUGGGUUGGUUGGGUGGAGAAAACGAGGAGGAUUUGGAUCGGAGAAGAGGCUGGUUGGCUUGGCGUUGAAAACAAAGGGAGUGGCGGCGGGUGAGGGAUUGGAUGGAAGGAAGGAUGGGACAGGAUCCCUAAUUUCUAGGGUUGCCCAUCAUAUAUAGCAGUGGGAUUAAGUUUAGGGGCUAUUCGGUCCAUCCGAUUGUAAUCGGACGAUCGAGAAAUAAAUAGGUAGGGAGUCCAAACAAGAAAACUUUGACAUUUUGUAGAUGUUUGAGGAUGAUGCGGACCCAACGGUGAUGACUGCCCAGGUCGGGUCCGGGACAAUUUCGGACGCACACGUGAGGGGUGCCGCGGGCUGACGAGAGAGGUUAGGCAGGACCUGGCGGUGAGUGGUAGUGAUCUGUGUAGACGGUCUCGAGCUGAGAGAAGAGAAGAGAGGGAGGCCCGGCGACUGUUUCCAGAGACCAAAAACGUCCGACGAUUUGACCGGCUAUAAUGCCGCUAUAGUUUAACGGCUGGGCUAUCAAACGAACUCCGAAUGCGAUGAAACUUGACAGGCGGUCUAUCUACACUAUAAUAAGACCACACGUCAACUCUCAUCCCAUUCCGAGAACAUUUUCCAGCCACUUAUAAAAUACUAUUUCGGACAUGCCGCAGGCGCGUGCAAGUGUGGUUGGGCUCAGAACGGACAACGGACGGACUGGGGGAACCCGAACGAAUACAAGUUUUGAAAACAUGAUGAUGCAAUGCACAUGAUGACAUGAUAAGAUGCAACACGCAAGCAAAUGACAAGCCAACAACAGCAAAUAAGCGGAGGACACCUGGCACAUCGGACUCGGGGCGUCACAACACUCCACCACUACGAGAGGAUCUCGUCCCGAGAUCUAGAAUGGCACCGGAGGGACAACGGAAGAGAAAAAGGAGAGGUAAACUAAGUUGCUUCUUUGACAAACAAGUGAAACCAAAGAACCUUGAAAAGGUUGAGCAAAAUGAAAGAAAGAAAACAACGGAGAAGAACAAAGUUGAAAGCACUCCGUUAAGAAAGAGGAAUAAGAAAGAACCAAUUCGGGUAGCACUUCGGUUGAAAAGAGAUGAAGACUUGAUAAAAUGAGAGAGCUUGAGCAAAAGGGGCAUAAUACUCCGAUUAAAUGGAUAAACCAAGAAAAGAACACGAUCCUGACAAAACAAGAAGAUGUGUUGAAGAGAGCAACAUCACAACGCCUCCGGAAGGAAGAAAUAGAAGAUAGACAAUUGAAAUAAAAGAAUGGGGAAGAAACUGCCAAGUUGUGCCACAAUUGAGCUUGAGAAGGUAUCCUUAGGAGACGGGUCGAGCGGAGUUGUUGGAACACCAACAACGAAAAGAAUACGCUUGAUAUGGUCUUAUGGAAUACAUCUCGAAUUAUGAGGUGACAACCUGCCGCUCACGGAAAGAUUUUGAUUGGAUUGAUAUGAACAAGGAGACGAGAAAAUAUUUCACCGGGAGGAUAAGUGAAGAACUUGGAUCAUUUAUAAGCACCAUAAUUAGCAACAAUCCUUAGGGAAAGUUUUAGGUGAAAUAUAACCCAAGAUAACUCCAAAGAAGAGGUUGAUGGAUUUAAAAUACCCCAUUCUUAACAACCUGAGAAUCAUGAAACAUGAACUCAAAUAUCAAGAAUGAUGUAAGAGCACCUCCAAUGAUAUGGUAGAAAGAAAUGCACUCCGGAUUGCAAGAUGAAGAAAGCUUGAGCUCCUUAGGAAAGAAACUCAAUAAAAAACUUCUGGACGGAAAUAAAUCCUUGAUGAACCUUCAUGUAGAACCUUCAUGAAGAACUCCGUUAAUAAAAAGAGUGAUCAAACGGAAGGAAAGAGAAGUUGAAAACACAAGGUGAAUCCUUGUAAUGAUUAGAUGGAUCUUCAUGAUGAUAUAAUUGAGAGAGCUUGGAACUCCGGGAAAAGAAAAGAUAAAGCAUCUCAAACUGAGAAUUUGAUAUGAUGAACCACUCCGGAAAAAGGAAUUAAUCACUUGGAUGGAACAAGAAUAAGAAUUACGUUAUGCGUAUCCUUCACCAAUUUAAUUGAUGACAAGCAACGGAUUUGGCAUACUACUUAUUCUCGAAGAAAAGAUUAAGAUCGAUGUCGCGCCAACUUGGGAAGGUAUUGAACGAACCACCGGAAGGGUUGAAACGACGAAUAAAUUGAUAUGAUAAAGAAGGAAGAGAAAACUCUUGAACGAGCCACCGUAAGAAUUGGGAACGAACGAAGUAAAAGGGAAGAAUCACCGGUAAGAAUUAGCAAAUAACGAAGAUGCUUGAGAGAAUUUAGAUCCAUGAGAACGAAGAGAUUACGAGCUGAUUAGAGAAUCCUUGAUUUAAGCACCGGUAUGAUUUAGAGAAUGAGAACUGAAAGCUGAGAAUGAAUAAAUCUUCUGAAAUGAUGGGCUCCGGAGAAUCAAACUAAAAAGACUCCUGGAUUGCUCCGGAUGGGUGAAAAGAAUUCUCACAAUCGAAAAAUAAUUAUGAGAGGAUGGGAAAAAGCUAGAAUCACGAAUCUUGAAGAGAAUGGAGCAAGAUAUGGAGGAAAAGUCUUCUUCGGUCUUCGGAACCUGAGAAUGACGACGAGAAACACCAACAAUAAUUGUAGAGGCACCCCGAAAUACAGAAUAGAAAGGUUGAUCCAACGAUGAAAAUAAUUUGAAAGAUCUUGGAGAAAAAACAUAAGACUGAAGAAAAUUCAUUCUUACGUCACACUUUAAGAUGAAUUUGAGGGUAGCUCCGGGAAAAUAAGAAGAGUCAGGUAAGAUCCUGGGAAAAGACCCGUGGGUUAGGGCCCACUCAAAAGAGACACCGUUGAAUGAUUUAAAGGAGAGAUUGCACCGGUUGAAUUAAAUGGCUUGAAUGGGAUAACAACCUCGAAAUAGGUUGAACAGAUCUUGAAUGACAAGACGAGCCUUUUGAGAAAGCUUUGAGCACGCCGGAACAAAUGAAUAGUGAGAAGUGAAUUGUUAUGAGGUACAACGGUAUGAGAUGGCAUUGAAAUGAGGAAAGGGGUAAGAUCAACAAAGCUUGACUUGAAACCACCGGAAAGAUAAAAGAAAGAAGAAUGAUGAACUAGAAGCUCUGUUAGUAUCUUCAUGAGAAUCACCGGAUAAGAACAUUGAAGGAAAAGAAUGGAGAGGCUUCACAUCAAUAAGAUGGAUACUCGAUUAAGAAAUCUGAGUCCUUCAAGAAAAACAAGGGAGGGAGGGUGGGAAAAAAACAAAGGCAACUUGGAGAUGGAUGAAACAAACACCGUUGAGAAGAACUGAUACUUGAUCUUGCAGUUGUUGAAAUGAUCGGACCCACUUGAAGAGAAACACGCAGGUGAAAAGAAAUUGGCAUGACAAUCUCGAUUAUCAUGAAGGAUUAGUAUUUCAAUAGGAAUAUGAGAACACCAUUUAGGAAAGGUAUGGAAUCAACAUUUGCCUUCGAAGCAACUCAGAUACCACAACUCAAAACAAAAACAAAGGGUUGGCUUGCAGAAUAAGCUGGAACAAACAUAUGAUAGAGAUUUCGCCUGAAGUUUUCGUGGUGGGGCCUACACGGGCUCGAUCGUACAGCACCAUCAUGUACAAGGCAGUGCACAUGACAUACGAAGCGUCCCCGAGUCGGCAUAGCCAAGGACUCUUUAAGACACAACGAGACCACUUGUAAAACCGACCGUGAAUAGGCGGACCACUAGACGUCGAACCCCAAUUUCAUAUCAUACAUCUGUCGGAAAGAUAUCCUAAGAGCUACUUGAAUUCCCACCUAUGAAACUCCCGAACCUUUCCGGUUAUGCAAUCAGGUGUUGGGGAUACAGGGGAAGCAUAAUAUCUCACCCAAAACUAGCAAAUCCUACAUCCAGCUGUAUCCAUCCUUCAACACAUAACCAAGAAACCUUCGGAAAUCAUCUACCUCAACCUUCGAAAAGCAUGCGUUAUACAAGUUAUGGCAAUACUCCCGAACUCCCGCCCCAGUACUGGGUGGCAUCGAGGUUAUCUCACCAACAACUGCAUAAAAGAGAUUUUCGAUGUCGGCGAAACUAAUCUCAGGUAUUCCAGAAUCUCAAUGAUAAAAUUGUGACGACAACACCUCGGAGCUCAACUCCCCGGGACACUGCCACAACCCCUAAAUGACAGGAGGCACCAAGAACAAUGUUCUCGUCACAAAACCAUCGGAACGAUUCCAAGAUACCCGCGUGAUCCUAAAAAAAUUUAGUGAAAUUUGAGAAGAGAAGAGUCAAAACUCUACGUCAGGAUGCCUUACCAGAGCGAUGAGGAGACUGGGGAGUAAAAAGAAUUCCUAAACUCUCCGAUAUAUAAUUCCUAAAUGACUCAAAACAUUUUUUUCUAGACUCAACCACGGCUACUAAAAACGAUCAAGCAGUGGGGGCUCCUAAGGUCGGGGAAGGCUCUGAUACCAACUUGUAACGCCCUCGAUGCGGCUAUAUCCCCCAUGUGUCGAAGCACGACUUAGAGGCAUAACCGCAUUGAAAGCAAUGUUGCAAGUGAGGUAAUCUUCACACAACCCAUGUAAUACAUAAGGGAAAGAGAUACAUAGUUGGCUUACAAUCACCACUUCACACAAUUACAUGAAUAAAGCAUUACAACAUCCAAAUACAAUCAAGGUCCUACUACGGAACCAAAACAAAAGAAGAACCCCAAAUGCGACACGGUCCCCGAUCGACCCCAACUGGGCUCCACUACCGAUCAACUAGAACGAAACAACACAAAGGACAAGAUCUUCAUCGAGCUCCUCCUGAGCUUGGUUGCAUCAUCUGCACGGUUCAACGGCACCUGCAAGCUGGUUUUGGAAGUAUCUGUGAGUCACGGGGACUCAGCAAUCUCGCACCCUCGCGAUCAAGACUAUUUAAGCUUAUGGGUAAGGUAAAGGUAUGAGGUGGAGCUGCAGCAAGUGACUAGCAUAUAUGGCAGCUAACAUACGCAAAUGAGAGCGAGAAGAGAAGGCAAAGCACAGUCGAGAAACUAUGAUCAAGAAGUGAUCCUGGACUACUUAUGUCAAGCAUUACUCCAACACCGUGUUCACUUCCCGGACUCCGCCGGAAAGAGACCAUCACGGUUACACACGCGGUUGAUGCAUUUUAAAUAAUGUCAACUUUAGGUUUUCUACAACCGAACGUUAACAAAUUCCCAUCUGCCCAUAACCGCGGGCACGGCUUUCGAAAGUUCAAAUCCCUGUAGGGGAGUCCCAACUUAGCCCAUGACAAGCUCUCACGGUCAACAAAGGAAUAGACCUCCUCCCGAGAUAUUCCGAUCAGACUCGGUAUCUCUGUUCUACAAGACACUUCGACAAGUUAAAAAAAUCCAGCAACACCACCCAGAUGUGCCGACAAAUCCCGAUAGGAGCUGCACAUAUCUCGUUCUCAGGGCACACCGGAUGAGCAAGACAUCGGGUAGGCCAGCCCAGAGUUGCCCCUGGUAGCCCCGGACAUCGCUCGGUUGGACCAACACUCAGAGGAGCACUGGCCCGGGGGGGGGGGUUAAAAUAAUGAUGACCCUUGGGCGCGCGACCCCAAGGGAAAAGAAAAGGCUAGGUGGCGAAUGGUAAAACCAAUGUUGGGCAUUGCCGGCAGAGUUUUAUUCCAAGCGAACUAUCAAGGGGUUCCCAUUAUAACCCAACCGCGAAAGGAACGCAAAAUCCGGGAACAUAACACCGAUAUGAUGGAAACUAGGGCGGCAAGAGUGGAACAAAACACCAGUCAUAAGGCCGAGCCUUCCACCCUUUACCAAGUAUAUAGAUGCGUUAAUUAAAUAAGAUAUAUUGUGAUAUCCCAACAAGUAAACAUGUUCCAACAAGGAACAACAUCUCCAUGUUCCAACAAGGAACAAACUUCAAUCUUCACCUGCAACUAACAACGCUAUAAGAGGGGCUGAGCAAAGCGGUAACAUAGCCAAACAACGGUUUGCUAAGACAAGGUGGGUUAGAGGCUAGGUUCAACAAUAUAGGAGGCAUGCCAAGCAAGUGGUAGGUAUCGCAGCAUAGGCAUAGCAAAAGAGCGAGCAACUAGCAAGCAAAGAUAGAAGUGAUUUCGAGGGUAUGGUCAUCUUGCCUGAAAUCCCGCAAGGAAGAAGAACGAGUCCAUGAAGAAGACAAACGGGCGUAGACGAACGGGUCCUCUCAAACACGACGUUACCGGAACCAACCCGAAGGAGCAAGCACCGGGAAAAAAGCACACAACAUAGUAAACAACCAUCACAUAAUCAUGGCAUGAUGCACAACCAAGUAUGAUGCAUGUCCGGUUUAAUGAUACAUGGCAUGGCAAAGUGCACAAACAAACCUACAAAUUAAGUGGAGCUUAACAUGCAACGAGUUGCAUAUUGAAGAAAACACCACAUGACUUAUUUAGUUCCCUCUCGUUUAUGUACCCAACAAGAUUAAAUGUUGAUUAACAUGGCAAGAGGGUGAAGCAAAAGAAAACUGCAUAUUUAAGCAAGUUUAAAUGAGGCCGGAAACAACAACAACAAUUCCGGAAAAAUCCUCAUGUGCGUAUUAUGGAUUUGGUACUGUUCUGCCCUAAACACAAUUUUAGAGUUGUUAAGCAUGCAAAGUGAAGCCACCAUGUUAAACUAGGCAAAAUUCUACCCCAUUUACAUAUAAAGUUUAUUAGAUUUGGAGCUACGGUUAUUUAGUUAUGAAUUAAACCGUUUUAGCAUGCUAUUUUUGCAAAAUUAAACAAACAACAUUUUAGACAUUUUUAACAUGCAUGAAAGUGGCAUAUUAUUAAUCUACACAAAAUUCUAAGCAUUUUCAUAUAUAAAUUGUUUUAAUCUGAUGCACGGUUAUUAAUUUAUUAUAUGCAUGAAGUUUAGCGGCCAUUCUGCAAAACUGACACUCUUUGGAAAAAUAGCUAAAUCGCAGAGCCUAAAAAAAAUUACAUGGGCCGGAACUGCUGCCCAACAGCAGGGAAAAGAAAAAAAAAACAAACAUCCCGAGGCGCUAGGGCUUCUCACCCAUGGGCCUUGCCCAGUCGGAGGAAGAUGCAGGCCGCGAAGGGAGGCGCUGGGCCUUGGAGAGGCAAAGAGGCCCAUGCGCGUGGCGGACGCUGGCGGGAUCUGGGCCUGGCAUGACCUCGGUCAAUGUAGGUAGGAGCGCACGUUCGCUGUUCGUUCUCUGCUCGACAGAGACAAAGCAACGACGAUGGCAUGGGCGCAGCGGCUGCUCCAUCCGGCGAGAUGCAGGUGAGGAAGGCAAGGCGGUGCAGGGCAGACACGGAUCUGGUCGAUGACGGGGUCGAGGAGUCUUCGGGCGGCAGCGGUGCUAUGCACCAUCGGAUCCGGUGGGGUUCCAGUCGGCAGGGGAGACAGCGGCGCUUGACGUGAGCUCCUGGCGGUGGGGUCGGCGGGAAGCGGCCGGAACGGAUCUGGGACGACGGGAUCUGAUGGAGGGGCCGGAUCUAGAGUGAACGGUGGCGGCUUGAGGCACUGGUGCGGGCACAUCUCAGCAAGGCCAUGGCGCGGGGAUGCUCUUGUCGACAGAGAAAGGGAGAACAGAGAGAGAUGAGAGAGAGAGAAAAGGAGGAGCACAGGAAGGAGAAGAAAGGGGCGACGCUCAUCUGGAUCGGGAGGAGCUCGGGCAUGAGGGCAGCGCAGGAGUAGCGAGGUGCAGGCGCCUGGUGGUGCUCGACGGCGGAGGAGCUCCUCUCCUGUUGGGUUCGAGCGAGGCAACGAGGAGGAAGCAGGCGUGAGGAGGCAGGGAUCCAGACGCUCGGGACUGCUGAUGCUGAUCCGACGAGGCAACCGGAGGUGAUGGUGGUCGGUGAAGCCCUCGGGCACGAGGUCCUUGGCGACUGGGGACGAGGCACAGAGGGCAUCGACUCCUCCAGAGCGUGGCUGGCAGCGUAGGAAUCGAGAAGUGGAUGGCUUAGGUUGACUGCGAGGGAUCUAGGGGAUGAGCUGGGUUGGUUGGGUGGAGAAAACGAGGAGGAUUUGGAUCGGGGAAGAGGCUGGUUGGCUUGGCGUUGAAAACAAAGGGAGUGGCGGCGGGUGAGGGAUUGGAUGGAAGGAAGGAUGGGACAGGAUCCCUAAUUUCUAGGGUUUCCCAUCAUAUAUAGCAGUGGGAUUAAGUUUAGGGGCUAUUCGGUACAUCCGAUCGUAAUCGGACGAUCGAGAAAUAAAUAGGUAGGGAGUCUGAACAAGAAAACGGUGACGUUUUGUAGAUGUUUGAGGAUGAUCCGGACCCAACGGUGAUGACUGCCCAGGUCGGGUCCGGGACAAUUUCGGACGCACACGUGAGGGGUUCCGCGGGCUGACGAGAGAGGUUAGGCAGGACCUGGCGGUGAGUGGUAGUGAGCUGUGUAGACGGUCUCGAGCUGAGAGAAGAGAAGAGAGGGAGGCCCGGCGACUAUUUCCGGAGACCAAAAACGUACGACGAUUUGACCGGCUAUAAUGUCGCUAUAGUUUAACGGUUGGGCUAUCAAACCAACUCUGAAUGCGAUGAAACUUGACAGGCGGUCUAUCUACACUAUAAUAAGACCACACGUCAACUCUCAUCCCAUUCCGAGAACAUUUUCCGGCCACUUAUAAAAUACUAUUUCGGACAUGCCGCAGGCGCGUGCGAGUGUGGUUGGUCUCAGAAUGGACAACGGACGGACUGGGGGAACCCGAACGAAUACAAGUUUUGAAAACAUGAUGAUGCAAUGCACAUGAUGACAUGAUAAGAUGCAACACGCAAGCAAAUGACAAGCCAACAACAGCAAAUAAGCGGAGGACACCUGGCACAUCGGACUCGGGGCAUCACAAGUGGCUUCUGAUCCAGGAUCUUAAACCUAUUCUUCAGAUCUCCAAAUGCCCUCUCAACAGUUACUCUAAGGCUGGAGUGUUUGAGAUUAAACAGCUUCUGUGCAGUCCUAGGAUAGUUCCUAUCAGAGAACUCGUUGAGAUGGUACUUGGUUUUCCUGAAGGGUGGAAGAAUACCCGACCGACAUGCAUAGCCAACAUAUUCAAGGUAGAACUUGCCAUCGGGGAUGUUGAUCCCAUCAGGUCGACUCAUGCUGUCAUUGAGAAUGUUAGCAUCAUGCACUAACCCCUCCCAGCCAGCCAGCACAUAUGUGAACUUCAGAUUAAAGUCAACAGCAAAAAGCACAUUCUGGCUUGUGUAGUGCUUCCUCCCCCUGUAUACUGCAGACUGUGACCUAGGAACUCUGGCAGUGACAUGAGUACCAUCUAUUGCCCCAAUGCAAUCCUAAAAAAGGCAUCACAAGCCUGUGUUAGUGCUGAACUUGAACAAUACAAGCAUAUCAAGCCAUGAAAAGUGUAUACUAUCAAUGCUCACCUUGAAGUAUGGAUACCAUCAUGGGUUUCCGUGAACCUUGGGUGGAGUCUGGCUAGUUAGUCUCCUGAUCAUCUCUCCUCUAAGCUCCCCAAUUGCAAAAAGCACCUGCUUGAAGUACCUAGAGAUGGUCUCCAUUGAUCUCCUGAACGUGUUGUGAAUGACCCUGAACCUCUGGUUAUGGCCAACAACAUGGAGGAACAUGGACACUUGCUCUUCGACACUGGUGUUGAUGUUAUUUUGUAGCAGCCCCCUGCUCCUGAAGGUCUCGACAAGCCUGGAAAAUGGUGCUCCUUUCAUUCGAAGCAUCCAUAGAGCCUCGACGUCAUUGCAGUUGUAGAUGUAGUUCAUAUUUUGGAUCCUCUCCUGUUCCCGGAUAAACAAUGGACCAUAGCGGAUCAAAGGUCUCCCAGCACGACGAACAGCUCGCUGGUGCAUGAACAUGAACCAUGCCUGAAUCACACUAAUCAGUGAUGCUGCCUGAAUUAUCAGCCUCAUCCGUGCGUCCAUAACCUAGUCGACAUCGACAGUUCGUUCAGUGGGAAAUCGAUCCUACACCUAGCCUAACGGCCUAACCACCGAGCUAACAAAGGGGGGAGGGGGUGCUGCUUACUGGCAUCGGAGACGAGGACGGCGUAGGGGGAGCCAUGGCACAGACAAGGUCGACCAGACGGUGUCCAACAACAAGGGGAGCACUAGAUCCGCCGCAAACGCCGCCGCCUCUUCCGCCGCCGCCGCCUCUAGCGCAGAUCUAAAAUCGCAGCCGCCGCCGGUGGUGAGGCAGUAGCGAAGAAAGGGGGGUAGUGGCUAUGGGUGAGCAAGUGAAAGGGGGGCGAGGCUAGAUUUGGCGCCAGGAUGACAUGCCAGAUUUCCAUCUCCCGCCACCCCCCUGGCCCUCGCAUCGCACCCGCCCAUGCGACCUCGCGCCGCACUCAGCCUGCCUCGCAAGAAACAGCCGAUCCGAGCGCUUCUAGUGAGCCAGGCUCUAGGUUGCUUCGAGAAGCGUGCGAUGUAGGCCCAACAGUGAAUCCAAGCAACCAAACAGGCCUCUUCCUUCCAGUGCGGGCCUGGUUGGGCUCGAUGUGGGGAACCAAACACGCCUUUGGUGGCUUGGGCAUACCUAACCUUGAGGACGUAGUUUAAAAAAAAACCUUCAAGAUAUCAAAUGUCUCUUGGGGUCUUGGAUAAAAAAAUACCCUAAAAGAGAUGACAACCUCCUCUUCUCGUAACACUACUAGAUUUUGGAAAGGGGUCAUGUCUGUAGUUAAAUCUAUUAAAUUUGACUACAGGUGGACUGCUGGUAAUGGAACCAAAAUGAGGUUUUGGGAGGAUGCCUGGUUUGGGUCUCCCCUCUAGCAGUUCAAUGUUGGCCAGUUUAUAUAAUUUGUAAUGAAACUGCUAAAACCAUAGCUGAUAUUUGGGAUGGUACCCAACUCAAGCUAACUUUUAGGUGGACUUUUAUGACUGGCUUAAGGAAUUAUGGUAUCAAUUACUAGAGAUAGCUCAUAGGAUUAUUUUCUCUCACGAUACAAACUCUCUGAUUUGGCAGCUGGAGAACAAUGGUAGAUACUCCACUAGCUCCCUGUAUCAUGUAACUAAUUUUAGGGGAGUGCAACCAGCUCACAUUCUUGCUGUCAGGAAGCUUAUUUCCAGCUAAAUUUUGUAUCUUUCUUUGGCUUUUCUCUCGAAGCAAACUAAUGACCAGAGAUAACCUUAGGAAAAGGCAUAUUAUCAAACCUCGAGAAUGUGUUUUUGCUGUGAACAUGAAACCACACAUCAACUUUUGUUUCACAGUGUGGUGGCCAGAGUAAUCUGGCUUGUCAUCAGGGGGUUCUUUGGAGCCCCAGUAGGGUAUGAUUUUAUUUUAGUUGCUAAACACUGGCUUUCAAAUAAUAGGCUUUCCGCUUUAAACAUUGUUUGCUCUAUUGUGUUGUAGAAUAUCUGGAAAUUUAGGAACUCCAUGAUAUUUAACAAUGUUGAGUGGAAUUCUAUCAAACUGGUGUGGUGGAUCAUCUUGAGAACUAUCAGGUAUUGGUUAGUUCUGUCGCGGGAUCAAAGUAAACAGAGACUCAAGGAGUUCUCUAUCUUCCUGUCAGACUACAUGAGGAAGCCUCUUUAAAGAGUAUCUACCAUUGUUCUCGUGGCUCUUCUUGUUGUCGUUGAAGAGCUCGAGGACGGAGAUCCAAACCUUGUAGGCCGUGGUGGUGGCGGGGUUGGUGGGCAUGACAAGGUCGACGAUGUCCAUGGCCAUGGAGCCAUAGAGCCAGCGAAGCACCAUGACAUUGAGGCGAAGCCACGUAGAGUCAGUGGAGGCCGUCUCGUGUUGGGGAACGUAGUAAUUUCAAAAAAAUUCCUACGCACACCCAAGAUCAUGGUGAUGCAUAGCAACGAGAGAGGAGAGUAUCGUCCACGUACCCUAGUAGACCGUAAGCGGAAGCGUUAUGAGAACAUGGUUGAUGUAGUCAUACGUCUUCACGAUCCGACCGAUCCAAGUACCGAAUGUACGGCACCUCCGAGUUUAGCACACGUUCAUCUCGAUGACGUCCCAUGAACUCUGAUCCAGCAGAGCUAAGCCCCGCUAGAUAUGAUCGAGGUGGAUUAUGGUGGAGGGGGGCACCGCACGCGGCUUGGAAUAAUCAACUUGUGUGUCCUAGGGUGCCCCCCUGCCCCCGUAUAUAAAGGACCAAGGGGGGAUGCCGACCGGCCCUUGCAGGGCGCGCCAGGAGGAGGAGUCCUCCUCCUAGUAGGAGUAGGACUCCCCUUUCCUACUCCUACUAGGAGGGGGAAAGGAAGAAGGAGAGGGAGAAGGAAAGGGGGGCGCCCCCUUCCCUAGUCCAAUUCGGACCAGAGGGAGGAGGGGGCGCGCGGCCGGCCCUGGCCGGCCCUCUCUCUCUCCACUAAGGCCCAUGUGGCCCAUUACUUCUCCGGGGGGGGUCCGGUAACCCUCCGGCACUCCGGUUUACUCCGAAAUCACCCGGAACACUUCCGGUAUCCGAAUAUAGUUGUCCAAUAUAUAAAUAUUUAUGUCUCGACCAUUUUGAGACUCCUCUUCAUGUCCGUGAUCACAUCCUAGACUCCGAACUACCUUCGGUACAUCAAAUCACAUAAACUCAUAAUACCGAUCGUCACCGAACAUUAAGCGUGUGGACCCUACGGGUUCGAGAACUAUGUAUACAUGACUGAGACACGUCUCCGGUCAAUAACCAAUAGCGGAACCUGGAUGUUCAUAUUGGCUCCUACAUAUUCUACGAAGAUCUUUAUCGGUCAAACCGCAUAACAACAUACGUUGUUUCCUUUGUCAUUUGUAUGUUACUUGCCCGAGAUUCGACCGUCAGUAUCUCAAUACCUAGCUCAAUCUCGUUACCGGCAAGUCUCUUUACUCGUUUCGUAAUGCAUCAUCCCGCAACUAACUCAUUAGUUGCAUUGCUUGCAAGGCUGAUAGUGAUGUGCAUUACCAAGAGGGCCCAGAGAUACCUCUCUGACAAUCAGAGUGACAAAUCCUAAUCUUGAUCUAUGCCAACUCAACAAGUACCAUCAGAGACACCUAUAGAGCACCUUUAUAAUCACCCAGUUAUGUUGUGACGUUUGUUAGCACACAAAGUGUUCCUCUGGUAUUCGGGAGUUGCAUAAUCUCAUAGUAAGAGGAACAUGUAUAAGUCAUGAAGAAAGCAGUAGCAACAAACUAAACGAUCAUCGUGCUAAGCUAACAGAAUGGGUCAAGUCAAUCACAUCAUUCUCUAAUGAUGUGAUCCCGUUAAUCAAAUGACAACUCAUGUCUAUGGUUAGGAAACAUAACCAUCAUUGAUUCAACGAGCUAGUCAAGUAGAGGCAUACUAGUGACACUUUGUUUGUCUAUGUAUUCACACAUGUACGAAGUUUUCGCUUAAUACAAUUCUAGCAUGAAUAAUAAACAUUUAUCAUGAUAUAAGGAAAUAUAGAUAACAACUUUAUUAUUGCCUCUAGGGAAUAUUUUCUUCAUCUCGGUGGUAAGAUGAUCCUCGAGGGCGUAGGUGAUGACGGCGAUUGUGAAGAAGGUCCUCCACUUGGGGAAGACGACACUCUUUGAGGCAGUCUUGGAUUAUGGGGUCCUCAGGUGUCCGGGCCACGUAGGUUGGGCCGGACUAAUGGGUCGUGAAGAUACAAGGUAGCAUGCCUUCCCCCGUGUACGGAUAGGACUCUCCUUUGCGUGGAUGGCAUGAUUGGCGUCUGGAUGUGUGCUUUCCUUUCUCUGUAAAUCGACCAUGUACGACCCUAGGCCCCUCCGGUGUCUAUAUAAACUGGAGGGUUUAGUCCGUAGAGGCUAUCAGAAUUCAUAUAGGCUAGACAUCUAGGGUUUAGCCAUUACGAUCUCGAGGUAGGUCAACUCUUGUAACCCCUAUACUCAUCAAGAUCAAUCAAGCAGGAAGUAGGGUAUUACCUCCUUUAAGAGGGCCCAAACCUGUGUAAAUAUCGUGUCCCCUUUGUCUCAUGUUACCUUCGAUCCUCAGACGCACAGUUCGGGACCCCCUACCCAAGAUCGGCCGGUUUUGACGCCGACAUUGGUGCUUUCAUUGAGAGUUCCUCUGUGUCGUCGACGACAGGAUCGAUGGCUUGCCUUGUCAUUAACGACAACAUUACCUCUGGAGCGGCCCUAGCUCCGGGACAGGUCCUCCAGCUCGGCAGUUUCACCAUGGGUGCCCGCGCGGCCGUUAAGCCACAGGCAGCCCUCCAAAUCACAAAACAUCGUCUUCGCAUCGGCCUUGAACACUCCAAAAAGCUAGAUCCAACGGAUAUCUCAUCCUUGAACGAACUACUAGAUCGCAUCGCCGCCUUGGGGGUUGCAAUAGACUACGAUCGGAUUUGGCUUAACCCGAUCAGAGGGAAAUCAAGUCCCCGCCGAUCACCCAUCUGGUAGCGGUCAUGGAGGAACAAGGCGAGAAUACUUCUCCCCCUAAGUUAAGAACAAGCUAUGUUCGGAUUUCCGAGCCCUGCGAGCCGGAUACCCAUCUUUUGGAAGAGACCUCAUGUCCUCCGAACAUAGAACCGGGCAUUGAGCCCAAAAGCUGCCAGGACACUCCGAAUCCUGGGCUAGUAACCUCGGAGGUUCUUCAAACUCCGGAUGCAAUAGUGGGUCAGGGUUUGGAUUUUGUCCCGCCCACCCACCACAAGCAAUACUCCCCAAGCAAUUCAGGACCUCCAGAUGUAUGCGACCUAAUGUAUGUAUGACGGCAGCCUGAGGACACGGUCCAUCACUUCUGGGCCAAAUUCCUCCUUGUUAAAAACAAGAUCAAAGAUUGCUGCGACGAUGAUGCGGUUUCAGUAUUUUGCCGCAACUGUACGGAUGAGGGAAUCCUCAACACCCUCAAUCGCCACCGCAUACUGCACUUCGCAGAUCUGGUGCACAUCGUACAGAAGUACUGCGUGAUACGUCUCCAACGUAUCUAUAAUUUUUUAUUGUUCCAUGCUAUUACAUUAUCUAUUUUGGAUGUUUAAUGGGCUUUAAUAUGCUCUUUUAUAUUAUUUUUGGGACUAACCUAUUAACCGGAGGCCCAAUGUCAGUUUCUGUUUUUUUGUGCCUAUUUUAGUGUUUCACAGAAACGGAAUACCAAACGGAAUGAAACCUUCGUGAUGAUCUUUCUUGGACCGAAAGCAAACUAGGAGACUUGGAGUGGAAGUCUGGAACUCCGUGAGGCGGCCAUGAGAUAGGAGGGCACGCCCAGGGGGUAGGCGCCCCCACCCUCAUGGGCCUCAUAGAGCUCCACCGACAUACUUCUUUCGCCUAUAUAUACCCUUAUACCCUAGAAACAUCAGGGGGAGCCACGAAACCACUUUUCCACCGCCGCAACCUUCUGUACCCGUGAGAUCCCAUCUUGGGGCCUUUUCCGGCGAUCUGUCGGAGGGGGAAUCGAUCGCGGAGGGCUUCUACAACAACACCAUAGCCUCUCCGAUGAAGCGUGAGUCAUUUACCACAGACCUUCGGGUCCAUGGUUAUUAGCUAGAUGGCUUCUUCUCUCUCUUUGAUCUUCAAUACAAAGUUCUCCUCGAUGUUCUUGGAGAUCUAUUCGAUGUAAUACUCUUUUGCGGUGUGUUUGCCGAGACCCAAUGAAUUGUGGGUUUAUGAACUUGAUUAUCUAUGAAUAUUAUUUGGUUCUUCUCUGAAUUCUUAUAUGCAUGAUUUGAUAUCUUUGCAAGUCUCUUCGGAUUAUCGGUUUAGUUUGGCCUACUAGAUUGAUCUUUCUUGCAAUGGGAGAAUUGCUUAGCUUUGGGUUCAAUCUUGCAGUGUACUUUCCCAGUGAUAGUAGGGGCAACAAGGCACGUAUUGUAUUGUUGCCAUCGAGGAUAAAAAGAUGGGGUUUAUCAUAUUGCUUGAGUUUAUCCCUCUACAUCAUGUCAUCUUGCUUAAUGCGUUACUCUGUUCUUAUGAACUUAAUACUCUAGAUGCAUGAUGGAUAGCGGUCGAUGUGUGGAGUAAUAGUAGUAGAUGCAGAAUCGUUUCGAUCUACUUGACACGGACGUGAUGCCUAUAUUCAUGAUCAUUGCCUUAGAUAUCUUCAUAACUAUGCACUUUUCUAUCAAUUACUCGGCAAUAAUUUGUUCACCCACAGUAAUACAUGCUAUCAUGAGAGAAGCCAGUAGUGAAACCUAUGGACCCCGGUUCUCUUUCUUAUUACAUUGCAUCUCUUUUAUUAUCGCAUGUUUACUAUUUUGCAAUCUUUACUUUCCAAUCUAUACAACAAAAUACCAAAAAUAUUUAUCUUAUUAUCUCUAUCAGAUCUCACUUUCGCAAGUGACCGUGAAGGGAUUGAUAACCCCUUUAUCGUGUUGGUUGCGAGCUUCUUGAUUGUUUGUGCAGGUAUUAGGUGACUUGUGCGUUGUCUCCUACUGGAUUGAUACCUUGGUUCUCAAAAACUGAGGGAAAUACUUACGCUACUUUGUUGCAUCACCCUUCCUCUUUAAGGGAAAACCAACGCAUGCUUAAGAGGUAGCAAGAAGGAUUUCUGGCGCCGUUGCCGGGGGGAUCUACGCCAAGUCAAGACAUACCAAGUACCCAACAUAAACUCUUCUCCCUCGCAUUACAUUAUUUGCCAUUCGCCUCUUGUUUUCCUCUCCCCACUUCUAAAAUGAUUUUCGAAAAGAUUUGCCUUUUCCUUCGCCCUUCUGCCGUUCGCCCUUCUGUUUGCUCGUGUUACCAUGUGCCUUCUAUUAGCUUGCAUCUUCGCUUGCUAAAUAUCUAUUGUUAUGGAUCCUCAUCCUAUUGCUAGUCUUUUAAAAAAUCCAAUUAUGAUGAACCAAUUGCUAGUGAGUUGAGUGCACUAGAUUAUCUUUAUGAGGUUUUGCUUGAAAUUCGUGAAUAUGAAAAUUGUGAUGAAGUGUUGAAAGAAGGAAAUUAUAAAGUGAUUCACGAUAGCUCCUUGAAUGAAAAGAUGAUUGCAAUGAUGUUAUUAUAAAUUCUAUUAAUGUCAAUUGUGUUAAUGAUAUGCGAAACCCUAAGCUUGGGGAUGCUAAUUUUGCUAUGUCUACUACUUGUUGCAAUGAUCAUGAUUGGGGUGAUUUUUCUUAUGAUCUUGAAAAUUUAUUUAAGCCCCAUGAUGAAUAUGAGAUUGAUAAUAUUGUUUCCAAUAAUAUUGAAAGUGGGUUUUGAAGAGUGUCGACUUUAGAUCCCACAUAUUUGCAUAAUAUUCAAUCUUGUGUAUUUUUUUUAUAAAAGUGGGUUCAGAGAGGUCAUGACUUUAUUUUAUGAUAAUCCCACUAUUUCGGAAGAGUGUCAACUUUGCGUGCAUGUGGAUCAUGAAGAGAAAAUUUUAUGUGAUAGUUAUAUUGUUGAAUUUGAUUAUGAUCCUACAUGUAAUUAUUAUGAGAGAGGAAAAUAUGGUUGUAGAAAUUUUCAUGUUACAAAAUUACCUCUCGUUAUGUUGAGAUUGCUAUUGUUCCUUUCUUCUUCCUUGCAUAUGCUAGUUUUUGCUUGCCUUGAUAAUUUGUCUGCUUAUAAAAUGCCUAUGCAUAAUAAGUAUGUUAGACUCAGAUGUGUUUGUCACAUGCUUUAUGAUGCUCCUUCCGUGCUUCAAUUCUUGUCUUUCAUGUGAGCAUCGUUAAAAUUAUCAAUGCCUAGCUAAAAGGCUUUAAAGAAAAUCGCUUGUUGGGAGGCAACCCAAUUUUAUUUUUGUUCUUAACUUUUUGUUCCUAUUUAGUAAUAAAUAAUUUAUCUAGCUUCUUUUAUGAUUGUAUUUUUAUGUUUUAAUUAGUGUUUGUGCCAAGUAAAGCCUUUAGGAUCUUCUUGGGUGAUUAUUAUAUGAUCUUGCUGAUAAAAACAGAAAGUAUGCGCUCACGAAAAUAAUUUUCAUUUUUUACUAGAGAGCAAUAAAAUACCAAUUCUAACUGAAGUAGCUCAAUAUACAAAUUGUACUGGUCUUCCUAAGUUUUCAGAAUAUUUGGAGUUACAGAAGUAUUCGAAACCUACAGAUUGCUACAGACUGUUCUAUUUUUGACAGAUUCUGUUUUUCGCGUGUUGUUUGCUUAUUUUGAUGAAUCUAUGGCUAGUAUCGGGGGGUAUGAACCAUAGAGAAGUUGGAAUACAGUAGGUUGAAAACCAAUUUAAAUAAAUAAUGAUUUAAUUACAGUACCUUACAGUGGUGGUUUAUUUUCUUAUACUAACGGCGCUCACGAGAUUUUCUGUUGAGUUUUGUGUUGUGAAGUUUUCAAGUUUUUGGGUAAAGAUUUGAUGGAUUUUGGAACAAGGAGUGGCAAGUGCCUAAGCUUGGGGAUGCACAAGGCACACCAAGGUAAAAUCCAAGUACAACCAAAAGCCUAAGCUUGGGAAUGCCCCUGAAGGCAUCCCCUCUUUCGUCUUCGUCUAUCAGUAACUUUACUUGAGGCUAUAUUUUUAUUCACCACAUGAUAUGUGUUUUGCUGCGAACGUCUUGUAUGAUUUGAGUCUUUGCUUUUUAGUUUACCACAAUCAUCCUUGCUGUACACACCUUUUGGGAGAGACACGCAUGAAUCGGAAUUUAUUAGAAUACUCUAUGUGCUUCACUUAUAUCUUUUGAGCUAUACAAUUUCCCUCUAGUGCUUCACUUAUAUCCUUUUAGAGCACGGUGGUGGUUUUAUUUUAUAGAAAUUAUUGAUCUCUCAUGCUUCACUUAUAUUAUUUUGAGAGUCUUUUAGAAAAGCAUGGCAAUUUGCUUUGGUAAUAAAAUUAGUCUUAAUAUGAUGUGCAUCCAAGAUGGGUAUAAUAAAAACUUUCAUAUAAAGUGCAUUGAAUAGUAGGAGAAGUUUGAUACUUGAUGAUUGUUUUGAGACAUGAGGAUGGUGAUAUUAGAGUCAUGCUAGUUGAGUAAUUGUUAAUUCGAGAAAUACUUGUGUUGAGGUUUGCAAGUCCUGUAGCAUAAACGUAUGGUAACCGUUGUGUAACAAAUUUGAAGCAUGGGGUAUUUCUUUGAUUGUCUUCCUUAUGAGUGGCGGUCGGGAACGAGCGAUGGCCUUUUCCUACCAAUCUACCCCCUAGGAGCAUGCACGUAGUGCUUGGUUUUUGAUGACUUGUAGAUUUUUGUAAUAAGUAUGUGAGUUCUUCAUGACUAAUGUUGAGUCCAUGGAUUAUACGCACUCUCACCCUUCCACCAUUGCUAGCCUCUCUAGUACCGCGCAAUUUUCGCCGGUACCAUAAACCCACCAUUUACCUUCCUCAAAACAGCCACCAUACCUACCUAUUAUGGCAUUUCCAUAGCCAUUCCAAGAUAUAUUGCCAUGCAACUUUCCACCGUUCCGUUUAUUAUGACACGCUCCAUCAUUGUCAUAUUGCCUUGCGUGAUCAUGUAGUUGAAAUCGUAUUUGUGGCAAAUCCACCAUUCAUAAUUUUUCAUACAUGUCACUUUUGAUUCAUUGCAAAUCCCGGCACACCACCGGAGGCACGCAUAUUGAGUCAUAUUUUUGUUCUAAGUAUCAAGUUGUAAUCUUUGAGUUGUAAAUAAAUAGAAGUGUGAUGAUCAUCAUUAUUAGAGCAUUGUCCCAUGUGAGGAAAAAAAGAGAAAUGCCAAAUAAAAAAAAGAAGGCCCAAAAAAAAGAAAAGAAGAGAGAGAAAAAAUGAGAGAAAAAUAGUGAAGGGACAAUGCUACUAUCCUUUUUCACACUUGUGCUUCAAAGUAGCACCGUGAUCUUCAUGAUAGAGAGUCUCUUAUUUUGUCACUUUCAUAUACUAGUGGGAAAUUUUCAUUAUAGUACUUGGCUUGUAUAUUCCAAUGAUAGGCUUCCUCAAAUGCCCUAAGUCUUCAUGAGCAAGCAAGUUGGAUGCACACCCACUUAGUUUCUUUUGUUGAGCUUUCAUACAUUUAUAGCUCUCAUUGCAUCCGUUGCAUGGCAAUCCCUACUCACUCACAUUGACAUCUCUUGAUGGGCAUCUCCAUAGCCCAUUGAUACGCCUGGUUGAUGUGCGACCAUCUUCCUCCUUUUUGUCUUCUCCACAACCACCACUCUAUUCCACCUAUAAUGCUAUGUCCAUGGCUCGCGCUCAUGUAUUGCGUGAAAGUUGAAAAGGUUUGAGAUUACUAAAGUAUGAAACAAUUGCUUGGCUUGUCAUCGGGGUUGUGCAUGAUUUGAGUAUUUUGUGUGACGAAGAUGGAGCAUGACCAAACUAUAUGAUUUUGUAGGGAUGAACUUUCUUUGGCCAUGUUAUUUUGAGAGGACAUAAUUACUUUGUUAGUAUGCUUGAAGUAUUAUUAUUUUUAUAUCAAUAUUAAACUUUUGUCUUGAAUCAUUCGGGUUUGAACAUUCAUGCCACAAUAAAUAAAAUUACAUUGAUAAAUAUGUUAGGUAGCAUUCCACAUCAAAAUUCUGUUUUUAUCAUUUACCUGCUCGAGGACGAGCAAGAAUUAAGCUUGGGGGUGCUUGGUACGUCUCCAACGUAUCUAUAAUUUUUUAUUGUUCCAUGCUAUUAUAUUAUCUAUUUUGGUUGUUUAAUGGGCUUUAAUAUGCUCUUUUAUAUUAUUUUUGGGACUAACGUAUUAACCGGAGGCCCAGUGCCAAUUUUUUUACCUAUUUCAGUGUUUCGCAGAAAAGGAAUACCAAACGGAAUGAAACCUUCACGAUUGUAUUUCUUGGACCGAAAGCAAACCAGGAGACUUGGAGUGGAAGUCUGGAACUCCGUGAGGCGGCCAGGAGAUAGGAGGGCGUGCCCAAGGGGUAGGCUUGCCCCCACCCUCGUGGGCCCCACGGAGCUGCACCGACGUACUUCUUUCACCUAUAUAUACCCUUAUACCCUAGAAACAUCAGGGGGAGCCACGAAACCACUUUUCCACCGCCGCAACCUUCUGUACCCGUGAGAUCCCAUCUUGGGGCCUUUUUCGGUGAUCUGCCGGAGGGGGAAUCGAUCACAAGGGCUUCUACAUCAACACCAUAGCCUCUCCAAUGAAGCAUGAGUAGUUUACCACAGACCUUCGGGUCCAUAGUUAUUAGCUAGAUGGCUUCUUCUCUCUCUUUGAUCUUCAAUAAAAAGUUCUCCUCGAUGUUCUUGGAUAUCUAUUCGAUGUAAUACUCUUUUGCGGUGUGUUUGCCGAGAUCCGAUGAAUUGUGGGUUUAUGAACUUGAUUAUCUAUGAAUAUUAUUUGGUUCUUCUUUGAAUUCUUAUAUGCAUGAUUUGAUACCUUUGCAAGUCUCUUCGAAUUAUCGGUUUAGUUUGGCCUACUAGAUUGAUCUUUCUUGCAAUGGGAGAAGUGCUUAGCUUUGGGUUCAAUCUUGUGGUGUCCUUCGCCAGUGAUAGUAGGGGCAGCAAGGCACGUAUUGGAUUGUUGCCAUCGAGGAUAAAAAGAUGGGGUUUAUAUCAUAUUGCUCGAGUUUAUCCCUCUACAUCAUGUCAUCUUGCUUAAUGUGUUACUCUGUUCUUAUGAACUUAAUACUUUAGAUGCAUGCUGGAUAGCAGUCGUUGUGUGGAGUAAUAGUAGUAGAUGCAGAAUCGUUUCGAUCUACUUGACACGGACGUGAUGCCUAUAUUCAUGAUCAUUGCCUUAGAUAUCUUCAUAACUAUGCACUUUUCUAUCAAUUGCUCGGCAGUAAUUUGUUCACCCACGGUAAUACAUGCUAUCAUGAGAGAAGCCACUAGUUAAACCUAUGGCCCCAGGUCUCUUUCUUAUUAUAUUGCAUCUCUUUUAUUAUCGCAUCUCGUUUACUAUUUUGCAAUCCUUACUUUCCAAUCUAUACAACAAAAUACCAAAAAAUUUUGUCUUAUUAUCUCUAUCAGAUCUCACUUUUGCAAGUGACCGUGAAGGGAUUGACAACCCCUUUAUCGCGUUGGUUGCGAGGUUCUUGAUUGUUUGUGCAGUACUAGGUGACUUGUGCAUUGUCUCCUACUGGAUUGAUACCUUGGUUCUCAAAAACCGAGGGAAAUACUUAUGCUACUUUGUUGCAUCACCCUUUUCUCUUCAAGGGAAAACCAACGCAUGCACAAGAGGUAGCACUGCGCAAUGGAAAGCGCCUGGAAAGACCAGGCAGCCCGGUGGGAACCUCCUGCCUUUAAGUAGCCCACCGAAUGAACAAAAAGGAUGCACCCUUACGGGGCACCUGACUAUCAUCUCAUCGACAAGAGAACCAAAUCCUUCACAUGACAUAGGAUUGUCCUUAACGAACUGUUCGACAAGCCCUGUCAAAUACACACUACGCCGAUUACCGAACCAACACACAUCCUUCGGGCAUGUUGGGCACUCCGGCAAGUGGCUAAGAGCGGCGAGACCAUCCUCACCAACACCACUCCGGAGACAUACUCUUCGGAGGACUACGAUCUUAAUGUCUUUACGGUCUUUGAGACCUUUUCUUCAAAUAAUCGGUGCAAAAGGGCGCUCCGCGACCUCGCCGAAGUCAACCAUGUAGCCGCAAUGAAUCCUUGGAAUGAUAUGGCAAUAACUUUCACUGCCAAUGAUGAACCAAGGGCCAGAUCAUUCCGAGCACCUGCCGCAUUGGUCUUAAACCCAAUUGUGGAUGGCUUCAGGCUCACCAAGGUGCUCAUGGAUGGCGGCAGCAGACUAAGCCUCAUUUAUGAGGAUACGCUCCAAAAAAUGCAAAUGGACAAGAGUCGCAUUGAGCAAAGCUGCACCACUUUUUGAGGCAUAUCCCCAGUCGAGAAGCACGAAGCUCGGGGAAAAUUAAGCUUGAUGUGGUGUUCAGCACGACGGAGAACUAAAGGUCCAAAGAGUUGCUCUUCCAUGUGGCACCUUUCAAUAGUGGAUAUCACGCCCUUUUGGUGCGAGACACAUUCACACGCUUCCAAGCUAUACCCCAUUACGGGUACAUGAAGCUCAAAAUGCCAAGGCCCAACGGAGUUAUCACAAUCACCAGUGAUCCAGAUAUAGCACUCCAUGCCGAAAAACAACAUCUUUGGCCCUUGAGGCACUAUCUGAGGCCCUCACGGCCGAAGAAUUAAUGACUCUGUGCUCUACAGUGGACAAAGAUGAUGUAAUCCUUGAUAAGAGGCCCAAGUUCGCUUCUUUCAAACCACCAGGGAAAUAGUUAAAUUUCAAGUACACCCGACGAAUCCCAACAAGACAGCCUCCAUCGGAGCACAGUUGGAUCCGACGGUCGACGUUGCCUUGCGAGCGUUCCUAUGCGAGAAUUGGGACAUCUUCGCCUGGCACCCUUUAGAUAUGCCGAGAAUCCCACGCAGACUGGCCGAACACAGCCUCAAUGUAAUAAAUGGGUUCAAACCAGUCAAGGAAACGCUGCGAUGAUUUUCUGAACCCAAAUGACAAGCUAUGGGGGAGGAGCUAGCCAAGCUACUUGAAGCCGGGUUCAUCAGAGAGAUCAAACACCCAGACUGGCUGGCAAAUCUGGUCACGGUGCCAAAGAAGGAUAAAUCCUGGUGCCUCUGUGUCGAUUUUAAGGAUCUCAAUAAGGCUUGCCCUAAGGAUCCCUUCCCACUACCCCGCAUUGAUCAAAUAAUUAACGUGACCGCAGGACAUGACUCACUAUUUUUCCUUGACGCAUACCCCGGAUAUCAUCAAAUCAAGAUGAAGGAGUCCGACCAAGCCGCAACACCAUUCAUUACCCCUUACGGGCCUUUCUGCUUCAACACUAUGCCUUUCAGGCUCAAACACGCCGACGCCACUUUCCAAUGCAUGAUUAAAACAUGUUUGGAAAAGCAAAUCGGCAAGACAGUGGAGGCAUACGUCGAUGAUGUUGUCAUCAAGACUAAACACGUCGAAUCAUUGGUGGACGAUCUACGAAUCACAUUCGACAACCUCCGAACAUAUGACAUACGGCUCAAUCUGGAAAAAUGUUUCUUGCCGGAAAACUACUCGGGUUCAUCGUUUCCAAUAGAGGAAUUGAAGCGAACCCGGCAAAAAUCCGAGCCUUGUCACAAUUGACAACACCAAUAGACUUAAAGCAAGUCCAAAAUUAGCCCGGUGCAUGGCAACCUUGAGCCGCUUUAUCUCCAGAUUAGGGGAGAAGGCGCCACCACUUUAUCGACUCCUCCGACACACCGACCACUUCGAAGUGGACAGAUGCAACACAGCCCGAUUGGAAGAAAUAGAAACUUUGUUAGCAAGAAACCCAAUCCUUGCUGCACCAAGGGUUGGCGAACCUAUGUUGCUCUACAUAUCUGUGACUCAUUAGGUAGUAAGUGCGGUGCUCGUCGUUGAACGACAGGAGGAGGGACAUAAAUUCCCACUCCAUAAACUGGUGUACUAUGUAUCGGCGAUUCUAACACCAUGCAAAUCUCGAUACCCACAUUAUCAAAAGAUAGCGUAUGUGGUCUUCAUGGCAUCCCAAAAGUUGCGGCACUACUUUCAAGAGUGUUCGAUCACGGUGGCUUCCGAAGUACCACUCAAUGACAUCAUAAGCAAUCGGGACACCACCGACCGCAUCGCCAAAUGGGCCAUCGAGCUCUUACCAUUUGAAAUAACAUACAAGCCACGCCGAGCUAUCAAAUCUCGGGUGUACAACACAUACUCUAACUGGAUAAUGUACUCCGACGGCUCUAAAAUGUUAGCCGGAUUGGGGGCUGGUGUGAUCCUAACAUCCCCCACAGGGGACACAGUCCGUUACGUAUUACAAAUCAUGUAUACGGACUCCAACAAUGCGGCUGAAUAUGAGGCCCUAUUGCAUGGUCUUCGAAUGACCGUUUCCAUGGGCAUACAAUGCCUCGAGGUACAUGGGGAUUCAAACCUCGCGAUAUCCCAAAUAAAUGGAGAUUUCGAUGCAAAAGAUCCAAAAAUGGCGGCAUACCGCAAUGCCAUACUAAAAUAUCUGCUCGGUUUGAGGGGCUCGAGUUUCAUCAUGUCUCUUGAGAAAAUAAUCAGGCAGCAGACAUCCUUGCUCGAAUGGGUGCUAAAUGUGACCCCGUCCCCACCUAACACCUUUGUGUAAAGGCUCUUCAAGCCAUCCGUGGUAUGGCAGGAUGAGAGCGGCAACAUUAGUCCGAAGCCGAGCAUACCCUCAGUUGCUGAACACAAUUCUAAUAUCAUCAGGGGCUCAGACACCGAAAUGACACCUUCCACCCAUUUAAUCAUGGCUGUCAUCGCUCCAUGGACCAAACCCUUCCUAGCCUACCUUAAUAGGCGGGAGCUCUCUGAUGACCAGAAUGAGGCUCGCCGUAUAGUCCGACGCUCGAAAGCCUACAGCGUUCAUGAAGGAGAACUCUACAAGAAA